rnacentral:rRNA from 1 species
GAUGAACGCUGGCGGCGUGCCUAAUACAUGCAAGUCGAGCGAACAGACGAGGAGCUUGCUCCUCUGACGUUAGCGGCGGACGGGUGAGUAACACGUGGAUAACCUACCUAUAAGACUGGGAUAACUUCGGGAAACCGGAGCUAAUACCGGAUAACAUAUUGAACCGCAUGGUUCAAUAGUGAAAGACGGUUUUGCUGUCACUUAUAGAUGGAUCCGCGCCGCAUUAGCUAGUUGGUAAGGUAACGGCUUACCAAGGCAACGAUGCGUAGCCGACCUGAGAGGGUGAUCGGCCACACUGGAACUGAGACAUGGUCCAGACUCCUACGGGAGGCAGCAGUAGGGAAUCUUCCGCAAUGGGCGAAAGCCUGACGGAGCAACGCCGCGUGAGUGAUGAAGGUCUUCGGAUCGUAAAACUCUGUUAUUAGGGAAGAACAAAUGUGUAAGUAACUAUGCACGUCUUGACGGUACCUAAUCAGAAAGCCACGGCUAACUACGUG